UACGAAGGGGGCUAGCGUUGCUCGGAAUUACUGGGCGUAAAGCGCACGUAGGCGGCUUGUUAAGUCGGGGGUGAAAUCCUGGAGCUCAACUCCAGAACUGCCUUCGAUACUGGCGAGCUCGAGUUCGGGAGAGGUGAGUGGAACUGCGAGUGUAGAGGUGAAAUUCGUAGAUAUUCGCAAGAACACCAGUGGCGAAGGCGGCUCACUGGACUGGUAUUGACGCUGAGGUGCGAAAGCGUGGGGAGCAAACAGG
rnacentral:rRNA from 1 species